rnacentral:rRNA from 1 species
UGGCGAACGGGUGAGUAACACGUGGGUAACCUGCCCAUCAGAAGGGGAUAACACUUGGAAACAGGUGCUAAUACCGUAUAACACUAUUUUCCGCAUGGAAGAAAGUUGAAAGGCGCUUUUGCGUCACUGAUGGAUGGACCCGCGGUGCAUUAGCUAGUUGGUGAGGUAACGGCUCACCAAGGCAACGAUGCAUAGCCGACCUGAGAGGGUGAUCGGCCACACUGGGACUGAGACACGGCCCAGACUCCUACGGGGGGCAGCAGUAGGGAAUCUUCGGCAAUGGACGAAAGUCUGACCGAGCAACGCCGCGUGAGUGAAGAAGGUUUUCGGAUCGUAAAACUCUGUUGUUAGAGAAGAACAAGGAUGAGAGUAAAAUGUUCAUCCCUUGACGUAUCUACC